UGGGGGACUGGUGUAAUGGCAACAUAGGGGUCUCCAAAACCCUUGCUCGAGGUUCGAUUCCUCGGUCCCCCGUC
rnacentral:tRNA from 1 species